GUUCUGCUGGUCUAGUGGUUUGAGCGUUGGACUAUGACUCUGGAGACCAGGGUUCGACUCCCCGCUUGGCCA
rnacentral:tRNA from 1 species